rnacentral:sRNA from 1 species
GGUGGGCAUAGCCUGGCUGUGACACCUAUAAUCCCAUUCAUUGUUAGGGGUGAUUGGCUAUUGGCUAGAUGAUUGUCUGGCUUAGCAUACCCUUCUUCCCUUACCAAGCCACGUGUAUCUUUUCUGAAGCUACUGACUCAGUGAAAGAUAAGGACCUUCCCAGAUUAGAAGAGGGUUUUUUUUGGUCAUAGGCCAGUCUUCAUUCGAACAUUGAACUUAGCUCUACUUGUGAAAGCAGCUAAGGU